CACACUAAAACUUCUUGAGUGAACGCUGCCCGUAGUGACGCUAUUUUAGCUUCCGUCCUGUGGCCCUCUUCCCCUCAGUCUAGUAGUUUAACUGAGUAUCACAAAAUAACUCACAUGUUAACUAAAAGUUGCUUUAGUCUUUUUUUUACCUUUAACUAGUGCCAAACUUUGUAAAUUGAACCAGGAAAACAACAAGUCUGGACAGUGUUAAUUCCCUGUAGCAGUGACAAUGACCAUAAAACUAACACCAAAAUAAUAAUUACAAAAAAGAAUUACUAACAUUAAUAUGGAGGGAAUAGGAAAAUGAGAUCUAGAAUUGUAGAUGUCAUGCAUUAAUUUUAGAUUACUUUGAUAACUUAAAUGAGUAACAGAUUAUAUCACAUGAAAGUACAAAAAUACAGCAACAAAUUCAACAUACAACCAAGUUAAUGCCAUCAUCUGCAACUUGCAAGAUAUUAAACUUACACCCGUGCCUUUAUUCAUAAAUUGCAUACCAAAAAGUUCAAAUUUACCAACUAGUAUUCUACAAAAUCCAAAUCCCUCCGCCCUCAAACACCAAUUAAAAAAAAGAAGGCAGUUUGGUAGACUAAAACUACUGCUAUGCAUAGGACCGGGAAUAGGUCGAACCAAAGAGGGGGUCUAUUGUACACAAUCUUGCUUGCAUUUAUGCAAGAGUCUGUUUCCAUGGUUCGAACCUGUGAUCUCUAGAGCAACUUUUGAAAGAAACAAGAGGUACUACCAUUAUGACAGCAGCCCAGAGGAACCCCACAAGAUUAAAAUUGAACCCCACAAGACUAAAGAUGGACCUUAACAAAAAACUCCACCACAAAAGUACAAAAGAAAAAAAAUCAAAUCAGAAAUGUUGUAUUUGGUUAGAAAUACUGUAGCCUAUUUCAAUCCUAUUGGACACAACACAGCUCCAUAUCUACCUAACUUUCCGUAUACCAAAAGCAUAUUGUCUGUAGGAUUGAACUCAAUUAAACUAAUCCUAUUAGGUCAAAAUAAAAUCAAAAUAAAAACUCAAAAAAUUAGGUCAAAAUCAUCAAUUAGAAGACUAAACAAACCUUAAAAUCAAUAAAUUAGACAAAAGCCCCAAAUUUGCUCAGAAAUUUAAGCCGUUGUCGGAGCAGUGGUGCCUCUUUACAACUUCUUAGAGGAUGUUGCCGCAGCUGAGAUA
rnacentral:lncRNA from 1 species